rnacentral:tRNA from 1 species
ACCCGUGUAGCUCAGUUGGUAGGGCAUGGCGCUUUGUAACGGCAGGGUUGUGGGUUCGAUUCCCACAGGGGGGG